GGUCCUCGGGGCACUUAAUGGGAUUUGGGGGGUUCCAUUGAAAUGUUGCUGGGAGCUCAACUGGAAUCUAAAAGUUCUUUCGGAAGGUGAAGGCCAGGCCCUCCGUGGGGGAGAAGCAGCAGACAUCCAGCUGAACAGCUUCAGUUUCUACACCAACGGCUCCCUGGAGGUGGGGUUGAGCCUCCUGCGGCUGGGCCUCCAGGAAGCAGAAGAGAAGUCCCUGCUGGUGGGGUUCAGUCUCAGCCGGGUUCGAUCUGGCAGAGUUCACUCCUAUUCAACCCGGGAUUUCCAGGACUACCCUCUCCAGAAAAACAGUAGCAGCUUCCUGGUCCGGUUCCUCAUCAACACCAAGGAUCUGAAGAUCCUUGGAAGUAUGGAGAGCGGAAGUUGUUUAUCUUUCCCGGGCUCCUCCCCAAAGCACCCUCCGAACCAGGGCUCCCAAAGCAACAGGCCACAGUCCCCCGCAAGGUGGAUGGCAGAGGGACCUCUGCAGCCAGCAAGCCCAAGUCAACACCUGCAGUGCCUCAGGGUCCUAGCGGGAAGGACAGGAGCUGGUGUUGGGCCCGAGCCACCUCAACAACUCCUACAACUUCAGUUUCCACGGGUGAUCGGCUCUCAGGCGGAAGAAGGCCAGUACAGCCUGAACUUCCACAACUGCAACAAUUCAGUGCCAGGAAAGGAGCAUCCAUUUGACAUGACGGUGAUGAUCCAGGAGAAGAACCCCGAUGGCUUCCUGUCGGCGGCGGAGAUGCCUUCUUUCAAGCUCUACAUAGUCAUGUCCGCCUGCUUCCUGGCCGCCGGCAUCUUCUGGGUGUCCAUCCUCCGCAGGAACAUGUACAGCGUCUUCAAGAUCCACUGGCUCAUGGCGGCCUUGGCCUUCACCAAGAGCAUCUCUCUCCUCUUUCAUAGUAUCAACUACUACUUCAUCAACAGUCAGAGCCACUCCAUCGAAGGCCUUGCCGUCAUGUACUACAUCACACACCUGCUGAAGGGUGCCCUUCUCUUCAUCACCAUCGCCCUGAUCGGCUCAGGUUGGGCCUUCAUCAAGUACGUCCUGUCGGAGAAGAAGGUCUUUGGGAUCGUGAUCCCCAUGCAGGCCCUGGCCAACGUGGCCUACAUCAGCAUCGAGUCCCGCGAGGAGGGCGCCAGUGACUGUGCUGUGGAAGGAGAUUUUGUUCCUGAUGGAUCUCAUCUGCUGCGGCGCCAUCCUGUUUCCCGCAGUCUGGUCCAUCUGGUAUCUCCAGGACAUGUCUGGCACAGACAGGAAGGUGGCGGUGAACAUGGCCAAGCUGAAGCUGUUCCAGCAUUACUAUGUCAUGGUCAUCUGCUACAUCUACUUCACCCGCAUCAUCGCCAUCCUGUGGCAGGUGGCUGUCCCCUUUCAGUGGCAGUGGCUGUACCAGCUCUUGGUGGAGGGCUCCACCCUGGCCUUCUUCGUGCUCAUGGGUUACAAGUUGCAGCCCACAGGGGACAACCCAUACCUGCAGCUGCCCCAGGAGGACGAGGAGGAUGUUCAGAUGGAGCAAGUAAUGACCGACUCUCUCCUCUCCAAAGUCAACAAAACAGCCACCGGGCGGGAGCUGUUAUGA